GAAAAGCAGACAGAUUGGUCCAUAAAUCAGGAAAUGAACAUGUAUCUUAUCAGUGUUUUCUGUCACAUGACUGCAGUUCACAGCUUCUCCUGAGGGUGGCAGCACGAUCCAACUGCUCCCAUGUCUUUGUUGAAGCUCAGUUUAUAAAGGGCCUGUUGUGUUGUUUGACUGCCAGCAGAAAACUGUAGGUGGAAACUCUCUGAGAGGCCUAAAAGCUCUGAAUCGCCUCCCACAAUUCAGUCUGAUUAUCAGCCCACUGCUUCAGUACGGCCACUUGUGAAUUUUAAAGCUUUGAAUCAAGAUGAAAGAAGUCAGAAACACACACAAAAAAAAAUACUUUUUCACACAAAAGGGCGCUUUUCUUUUUUUGGCUUGCUGCUUGAAAUAGUCCUUCUUUGUCAUUUCGCCUCCUCUUGGUGCAUCAUGAGUUCAUUCAAUAUGUCAGAUUAGAGUCAAUGUUUAAACUGUGUCCUGGUGUCGUGAUCGUUGUGUUUAAAUUCUAACAAAGUUAUAAAAGCGGCAUAAAAAUACUGGUUUCAAGCCGUUCAAUAGCUGAAACCUCUGAAAAUAAAUACCAUCUGUCCAUCCCUCUGGGUUGAACAAAACAAGAUAUGGACUUCGUCCCGCUGCAGGCGAGCUGCAAAUAGCUGGAAAUCCUUCCCAUCUAUGUCUCAGAGGUGCCCUCACUCUGUGCAGCAUCACUGUUUGAAUUUGAAUCAAAGCUGAUAGAGCCUUAAGAGAAUCUUUUUUAAUAAAUUGUUAUUUCCAAUUACUCAGACUUGGUGCAUUCACGGUCCUGCAGGGUGAAGCAGCAGCACAGCAGAUGCCGUCCGUCUGCUCGGGAGGCGAAUCUAAUUUUCGGGGUGUUUGAUUGAUGCAGAAUCACAUCCCGGCCUCCCUUACCAGCCUGGAUGUCGUCACCUCCCCGGGCUGCUCCCCUGCUCCCAGCCCUCGCUACCGAACCCGUCACACUGCAACCGUACACCGGACCCUGUCCCCCAAGGUCCACGCUAAGGGUCUAAUUGGUGACACAGACAGCAACCGCUGCAGCAAUUUAAUUAAUCCACAUGGGGGGAUUGCAAGCUGUUGUUUUCCUGCUGCAGAACAAAAGAGGUGAAGACGAGCAGAGUAGCUGAAGGGGCUGGAAACGAGGGAUGCUUUUAAAUCAGAGGGUUAGGAACGGAAAUAUAAUUCUACUGUACAGACAAAGAGUCAACAAAGAACUACAGCCCGACAGAUAUAUCGGCUGACAGAUAUAAGGCAUAUCAGUAUCAGUGUACAGUCAUGGAAAAAAAUAUUAGACCAUUUCUGACCAGCUGCCAUCUAGCCAUUUUCCAUGUUUUUUUUUAUAAUAACCAAAAUCAUCAUCAAGAAAACCAUGGAAAUUGCUAGAUAUAAGAUCUUAAAUUAAACUCUUAUGAGCUAUUUUUGUUAUCAUUAUAUUUGUCCAGAUAAAUGUACCUUUAGUUGUACCAAGCAUUAAAAUGAACAAGAAAUUGAAGAAAACAAGGGUGGUCUAAUAUUCUUUUUCCAUGACUGUAUAUGCUGUCUGAUAUGUGCUGUUAUAAUAUAUAUAUAUAUAUAAUUUUUACACAAUAUAUAAUGCUGCUUGGUGUUUUUAUUCCAUAGUCAGUAACUGACUGAACAGUUAUGUUUACUUAGUUAUUUGUUUUAUUCCUAUUUAUUCUUCAUUUCUCAGUUAUCACUUACAGAAUUGACUGAUAAUUUAAUACAUAAGCCCCAUUUACAUUUCACGCAUUACCUGGGUCAUUUGUCUGAUUGGCUGUGGUUGGGGAGAGAGGACACACCCAGAAUCCGCCCCUAUGGGCGAUUUAUUUUGGAGUUUUUAGUACCUGUCAGUGGAAAGGUCUUUUGGAACGCCCAGAAAUUACCUUCAAACUGAUUGGACGAUUUUUGCGAUUUUUUUUUUUUUCGCGGGCUUGAUGUCAGUAGGGUUACUUCCCUUUGAAGUCCUCUUCCAACGCUUGCUCCCUUCUAACGAUCGCCAUGAGAUUAGAUAAGAUAAUAUAUUACUUUAUUUAUCCCGCAGUGGGGAAAUUUAGUUGUCACAGCAGCUCAAGAUACAGACACAUAGAUAUAAGAAUAUUAAAAAAAAUAAAACAGAUGCAGAGAUAUACUCAGUAUAGUAUAAAGAAAUAAAUAAAUAAACCUGUAAAGUGACCUGGUGGAACAAACAGUGCGGUAUUAUGUGCAUAAACACAACCAGGAAAUCAGCAACCAACUGAUCUUCCAUGUCGACGUCGUCUUGUCCUUUUUUUAGUAUUUUGUGCCGGAGUUAGCCUGGUCGCCUCAAUGUUGUCAAGAUCAAAACAAAUGCUAACGUAGCAUUUAAAUAGACGCAUGUUGUUUACGUUAUCAGCAAAAAG